GCUUAACACAUGCAAGUCGAGGGGCAUCAUGGAGUCAGCUUGCUGACUUUGAUGGCGACCGGCGCACGGGUGAGUAACGCGUACCAACCUUCCCCAUAGUAGGGCAUAGCCCGUAGAAAUGCGGAUUAAUACCCUAUGUUUUCCUUUGCAGGCAUCUAAUGAGGAACAAAGGUUUCACCGCUAUGGGAUGGGGAUGCGUCUGAUUAGGUUGCAGGCGGGGUAACGGCCCACCUGGCCGACGAUCAGUAGGGGUUCUGAGAGGAAGGUCCCCCACACUGGUACCGAGACACGGACCAGACUCCUACGGGAGGCAGCAGUGAGGAAUAUUGGUCAAUGGGCGAGAGCCUGAACCAGCCAAGUAGCGUGCAGGAGGACUGCCCUAUGGGUUGUAAACUGCUUUUAUGCGGGAAUAAAGUGAGGUAUGCAUACCUUUUUGCAUGUACCGCAUGAAUAAAGACCGGCUAAUUCCGUG
rnacentral:rRNA from 1 species